rnacentral:rRNA from 1 species
ACUCAAAUGAAUUGACGGGGACCCGCACAACCGGUGGAGCGUGUGGUUCAAUUCGAGACAAAACGAAAAACCUCACCAGGGUUUGACAUGCAACCGUACAUUUCCCUAGAAAUAGGGAGAAAUCCGCAAGGAUGGUUGCACAGGUGCUGCAUGGCUGUCGUCAGCUCGUGCCGUGAGGUGUUCCCUUAAGUGGGGAAACGAGCGCAACCCGCGCGAAAUGUUGGAUUAUUCAUUUCGGACGGUCCCGGUUUUAUAUCGGGAAGGAAGGAGCGGAAGACGUCAAGUCAGCACGGCCCUUAUACCCUGGGCUACACACACACUACAAUGGCGAAAAACAACGGGCAGCAAGCCGGCAACGGCAAGCAAAUCCCUUAAAUUUCGCCUCAGUUCAGAUUGGGGUCUGCAACCUGACCCCAUGAAGUUGGAAUCGGUAGUAAUCGCAAAUCAGCAUGUUGCGGUGAAUACGUUCUCGGGUCUUGUACACACCGCCCGU